GGUCUGGUGGUGUAGUGGUAACACCUCCCUCUUCAUUUACCCCUUGUCAUAUAUGUGUAGUGGGAUUUCCCUUGUUCGAAUCAAGGUCAGGCCA